CAAAUUUACUCGUUACCACGAUAAACUUUGUUUUGUGCAAUUUUAUUACUCGAAAGUUAUUGUUCAUGAAAAGACGUGGAACGUUUCUUCUUGCAUGGAAAAUAUUUAAGGUGCUGAUCUCUCGGUCAAUAUGAUGGUGAAACAUUUUGCUGCAUUACUGGUGUUGAACUUGGUUUUAAGCUUAAAUGUUCCACUAGUAAGCGCCCAGCAUGGGAUAUUCGGAACUCUUUUAGGACUUGGCACUGGGUAUGCUGUAGGGAGAGCCUUUGGUAGAGGAUUAUACGGAUAUGGAGGAUACGACUAUCCAUACGGCGGUUAUCGAUACGGUGGCUAUCCAUACGGUAGAUAUCGAUACGGUGGCUAUCCAUACGGUAGAUAUCGAUACGGUGGCUAUCCAUACGGUGGCUAUCCAUAUGGUGGAUAUUACCAUAGACACAGAUAUGGCGGAUUUCCACACAGUCAUGGUUAUGGAUAUUGAUACGCAUUGGAACUAAGAAGUGCCUUCUAGCACUCUGUACAGUAAACUGUUCUGAACUCACAAGCUAAGUGUUAUAUGUGCUAUUAAAGCUAUAGAUAUGUA
rnacentral:lncRNA from 1 species